GAUGAACGCUGGCGGCGUGCCUAAUACAUGCAAGUCGAGCGAACAGACGAGGAGCUUGCUCCUCUGACGUUAGCGGCGGACGGGUGAGUAACACGUGGAUCACCUACCUAAAAGACUGGGAUAACUUCGGGAAACCGGAGCUAAUACCGGAUAACAUCUUGAACCGCAUGGUUCAACAGUGAAAGACGGUCUUGCUGUCACUUCUAGAUGGUUCCGCGCCGCAUUAGCUAGUUGGUAAGGUAACGGCUUACCAAGGCAACGAUGCGUAGCCGACCUGAGAGGGUGAUCGGCCACCCUGGAACUGAGACACGGUCCAGACGCCUACGGGACGCAGCAGUAGGGAAUCGUCCGCAGUGGGCGAAAGCCUUACGGAGCAACGCCGCGUGAGUGAAGAAGGUCUUCGGAUCGUAAAACUCGGUUAUUAGGGAAGAACAAAUGUGUAAGUAACUAUGCACGGCUUGACGGUAACUAAUCAGAAAGCCACGGCUAACUACGUG
rnacentral:rRNA from 1 species